rnacentral:rRNA from 1 species
GUAAAUAAUUAAGGGCGUAUGGUGGAUGCCUAGGCUCUCAGAGGCGAUGAAGGACGUGAUAAGCUGCGAAAAGCUCCGUUUAGGUGCAAAUAACCUUUGAUGCGGAGAUCUCCGAAUGGGAUAACCCAAUAUGUUGAAGACAUAUUAUACCGUAAGGUAGGCAAACGCAGGGAACUGAAACAUCUAAGUACCUGCAGGAGAAGAAAACAAACGUGAUUCCCCCAGUAGCGGCGAGCGACCGGGGAUAAGCCCAAACCGUUAUUGUUUCGGCAGUAGCGGGGUAGUAGGACUGCGACAUUGAUGAAAUAAAUGAAAUGGAACACUUUGGAAAAUGUGAUCACAGAGGGUGAUAAUCCCGUACAUGCAAGUUUAUGAAUCAUAGCAGACUCCUGAGUAAGUCGGGACACGUGUAAUCCUGACCGAAUCCGCCGGGACCAUCCGGCAAGGCUAAAUACUCCUGAGAGACCGAUAGUGAACCAGUACCGUGAGGGAAAGGUGAAAAGCACUUCGAACAGAAGAGUGAAAUAGUCCCUGAACCCAUACGCCUACAAGCAGUCGGAGCCGCUUCGUGCGGUGACGGCGUGCCUUUUGCAUAAUGAGCCUACGAGUUACUCAUCACCAGCGAGGUUAAGUACUUCAGGUACGUAAGCCGAAGCGAAAGCGAGUCUGAAUAGGGCGUCAAGUUGGUGGUGGUAGACGCGAAACCUUAGUGAUCUACCCAUGGGCAGGGUGAAGGUUUGGUAACACAAACUGGAGGCCCGAACCGGUAAACGUUGAAAAGUUUUCGGAUGACCUGUGGGUAGGGGUGAAAGGCCAAUCAAACUGGGAAAUAGCUCGUACUCUCCGAAAUGCAUUUAGGUGCAGCCUCUGUUGUUUUGUUCUAGAGGUAGAGCUACUGAUUGGAUGCGAGGGCUUCACCGCCUAUCAAAUCCGGCCAAACUCCGAAUGCUAGAACAUGAAGACAGGGAGUGAGCCAGCGGGUGCUAAGGUCCGUUGACGAAAGAGGGAGAACUCAGACCAUCAGCUAAGGUCCCCAAUUGUAUGCUAAGUUGGAAUUAAAACGGGGUGGGACUGCUUAGACAGCUAGGAUGUUGGCUUGGAAGCAGCCAUUCAUUUAAAGAGUGCGUAACAGCUCACUAGUCGAGCGGUCCUGCAUGGAUAAUACGCGGGCAUAAGCAUAUAACCGAAGCUAUGGGAUUGUAGAUGAUACAAUCGGUAGGAGAGCAUUCCAUUCAGCAUAGAAGCAGUACCGUGAGGUAUUGUGGAGCGGAUGGAAAAGCAAAUGUAGGCAUAAGUAACGAUAAUGCGGGUGAGAACCCCGCACGCCGAAAGAUCAAGGAUUCCCCGGCAAUGUCAAUCAUCCGGGGGUAAGUCGGAUCCUAAGGGUAAGCCGAGUGGCGAUCCCGAUGGCAAACAGGUUAAUAUUCCUGUACUGAUCAUAACUGCGAUGCAGCGACGCAGAGGUGACACUGCUGCGUACUGACGGAAUAGUACGUUGAAACCCGUAUUCUUUGAUACCGGUAGUGAAGCACGCCGGUAGAGAUGAAAGGUGAUAGUACCGCAAUGCUUCGGUUGCGCGGAUAACGCAGGUAAGCUGACUGCCAAGAAAACCUGCUAAGCUUCAGGUAAUGAUCAUCCGUACUGUAAACGGACACACGUGAUCAGGUAGAAAAUACUAAGGCGCUCGAGAGAUUCAUGGUUAAGGAACUAGGCAAAAUGGUCCUGUAACUUCGGGAUAAAGGACGCUCUUGUGAAAGAGCCGCAGAUAAUAGGCCCAGGCGACUGUUUACCAAAAACACAUGGCUAUGCUAAUUCGCAAGAAGAUGUAUAUGGCCUGACACCUGCCCGGUGCCGGAAGGUUAAGAGGAGAGCUCAGAGGCAACUCGAAGGUUUGAAUUGAAGCCCCGGUAAACGGCGGCCGUAACUAUAACGGUCCUAAGGUAGCGAAAUUCCUUGUCGGGU